AUCAACCAGCGCAUACUCAUCCCUAUAAAUACAAGGCUACAAACAACGGAAAAGUCCUCUCCAAAUCAACACACAAACUGCCCUACACAAACUCUAGCUCUACGCGAAACCUCUCAAUAACCUUGAGAUUUUUAUUUUCUUUUUCGCCGACACAUCUUCAGUAUAGAUAAACAGCACUGUGAAGGCUGUUGGGUUUUUUCCAGCCCAUGAUUAAUUGUCCUAAGUCCAUUGGGAAUUAAUAGUCUUAGAGGAUUAAAUUGUUUUCCCAAUUGGAGUUGUUUUCCCAAUUGGAGUUAGUUUCUCAAUUGGAGUAGGAUUCAUAACUAGAUUCCAAUUAGGAUUAAUAAUCCUUAUUGAAGAAGACCUUUAUUAUGUCUAUAUAAGGGGGCUAUUGUACUAGUUUUGAGGGGGGAGCAAAACAAUAAAUUGUAUACCACUCAAGGGAUUAGAGUGAGAUAAUAUUGUAAAGUGUGUGCGAGAGAAAAGAAAAGAGAUAUUGUAUUUCUUGUUCUUGUUCUUUCAGGUUUUUCGUCAAGUCCUAGUUCUAGAGAUUUGGCAAGAUUAUUGGUUGUACUCAUUAUUGAUAUAGUAAAAGAUUGUUGCUGCUGUCCCAUGGACGUAGGCACAUAUUGCCGAACCACGUAAGUUCUUGGUGUUAUUUAUCUUGGUUAUUUGUUUUUCGAUUUCCGGAGUUUGUUCUUGUUUUUCCCAUUCUUAAACGCAAUAUUCUCAACAAGUGGUAUCAGAGCAUGGUUUGUCUGAUAUCUGUUUAGAAUGGAGGGUGCAACCCGCUUUAAUUGGGUUACAUGGAAAUCAAGAGGAGGACAUGCUUUACUGAAGGUGUUAAGAGCAAGCCAACAAGUAUGUUUGAUGCUAAUUGGACCAAGAUGAAGAUAAGCGAUGUUUUCUGGCAAAGAAGUCUAUAAUUUCCUUUGCCAAUGACGAUGGUAGUUUUUAUUAGGGGGAGCCUUGGUCAAGAGAAGUCUAAUCAAGAGGGUCUUGGUUAAUGAGUAGUUCGAUCAGGGGGAGCUUGGUUAUGGGUAAUUCGAUCAAGGGGAGUCUGGUCAUGAAAAGUUCGAUCAAUGGGAGUUUGGUCAAGAUGAGCAAUCCUAUUAUGGUAUACCUUCCUCAUGGUCUGGAGGGGGAGAUUGUUGGAUUUUUUCCAGCCCAUGAUUAGUUGUCCUAAGUCUAUUGGGAAUUAAUAGUCUUAGAGGAUUAAAUUGUUUUCCCAAUUGGAGUUGUUUACCCAAUUAGAGUUAGUUUCUCAAUUGAAGUAGGAUUCAUAACUAGAUUCCAAUUAAGAUUAAUAAUCCUUAGUGAAGAAGACCUUUAUUAUGUCUAUAUAAAAGGGCUAUUGUACUAGUUUUGAGGGGGAGCAAAACAAUAAAUUGUAUACCACUCAAGGGAUUAGAGUGAGAGAAUAUUGUAAAGUGUGUGCGAGAGAAAAGAAAAGAGAUAUUGUAUUUCUUGUUCUUGUUCUUUCAGGUUUUUCGUCAAGUCCUAGUUCUAGAGAUUUGGCAAGAUUAUUGGUUGUACUCAUUAUUGAUAUAGUGAAAGAUUGUUGUUGCUGUCCCGUGGACGUAGGCACAUAUUGCCGAACCACGUAAGUUCUUGGUGUUAUUUAUCUUGGUUAUUUGUUUUUCGAUUUCCGGAGUUUGUUCUUGCUUUUCCCAUUCUUAAACGCGAUAUUCUCAACAAAGGCAACCGACGAACACCUUCAAUUUGG
rnacentral:lncRNA from 1 species